rnacentral:rRNA from 1 species
UGGGGAAUAUUGCACAAUGGGCGCAAGCCUGAUGCAGCAACGCCGCGUGAGGGACGACGGCCUUCGGGUUGUAAACCUCUUUUAGCAGGGAAGAAGCGAAAGUGACGGUACCUGCAGAAAAAGCGCCGGCUAACUACGUGCCAGCAGCCGCGGUAAUACGUAGGGCGCAAGCGUUAUCGGAUUAUUGGGCGUAAGAGCUCGUAGGCGGUUUGUCGCGUCUGCUGUGAAAUCCGGAGGCUCAACCUCCGGCCUGCAGUGGGUACGGGCAGACUAGAGUGCGGUAGGGGAGAUUGGAAUUCCUGGUGUAGCGGUGGAAUGCGCAGAUAUCAGGAGGAACACCGAUGGCGAAGGCAGAUCUCUGGGCCGUAACUGACGCUGAGGAGCGAAAGGGUGGGGAGCAAACAGGCUUAGAUACCCUGGUAAUUCCCACCCCGUAAACGUUGGGAACUAGGUUGUGGGUUCCAUUCCACGGAUUCCGUGACGCAGCUAACGCAUUAAGUUCCCCCCCUGGGGGAGUACGGCCGCAAGGUUAAAACUCAAAGGAAUUGACGGGGGACCCGCACAAGCGGCGGAGCAUGCGGAUUAAUUUCGAUGCAACGCGAAGAACCUUACCAAGGCUUGACAUAUACGAGAACGGGCCAGAAAUGGUCAACUCUUUGGACACUCGUAAACAGGUGGUGCAUGGUUGUCGUCAGCUCGUGUCGUGAGAUGUUGGGUUAAGUCCCGCAACGAGCGCAACCCUCGUUCUAUGUUGCCANCACGUAAUGGUGGGAACUCAUGGGAUACUGCCGGGGUNAACUCGGAGGAAGGUGGGGAUGACGUCAAAUCAUCAUGCCCCUUAUGUCNUGGGCUUCACGCAUGCUACAAUGGCCGGUACAAAGGGCUGCAAUACCGCGAGGUGGAGCGAAUCCCAAAAAGCCGGUCCCAGUUCGGAUUGAGGUCUGCAACUCGACCUCAUGAAGUCGGAGUCCGNUAUGUNUAUCGCAGAUCAGCA